rnacentral:rRNA from 1 species
UACGUAGGGACCGAGCGUUGUCCGGAUUCAUUGGGCGUAAAGAGCUCGUAGGCGGCUGUUCAAGUCGAACGUGAAAACUCGGAGCUCAACUCCGAGCCUGCGUUCGAUACUGGACGGCUAGAGUCUGGUAGGGGGAUCUGGAAUUCCUGGUGUAGCGGUGAAAUGCGCAGAUAUCAGGAGGAACACCGGUGGCGAAGGCGGGUCUCUGGGCCGAUACUGACGCAGAGGAGCGAAAGCGUGGGGAGCGAACAGG